rfam:TPA: Bos taurus chromosome 11, whole genome shotgun sequence.
UCCCUUGUGGCUUAGCUGGGAAAGAAUCCGCCUGCAAUGUGGAAGACCUGGGUUUGAUUCCUGGGUUGGGAA